CUGGCGGCGUGCUUAACACAUGCAAGUCGAACGAUGAACCACUUCGGUGGGGAUUAGUGGCGAACGGGUGAGUAACACGUGGGCAAUCUGCCCUGCACUCUGGGACAAGCCCUGGAAACGGGGUCUAAUACCGGAUAUUGACCUUCACGGGCAUCUGUGAGGUUCGAAAGCUCCGGCGGUGCAGGAUGAGCCCGCGGCCUAUCAGCUUGUUGGUGAGGUAAUGGCUCACCAAGGCGACGACGGGUAGCCGGCCUGAGAGGGCGACCGGCCACACUGGGACUGAGACACGGCCCAGACUCCUACGGGAGGCAGCAGUGGGGAAUAUUGCACAAUGGGCGAAAGCCUGAUGCAGCGACGCCGCGUGAGGGAUGACGGCCUUCGGGUUGUAAACCUCUUUCAGCAGGGAAGAAGCGAAAGUGACGGUACCUGCAGAAGAAGCGCCGGCUAACUACGUGCCAGCAGCCGCGGUAAUACGUAGGGCGCAAGCGUUGUCC
rnacentral:rRNA from 16 species